UCCAGACUCCUACGGGAGGCAGCAGUCGGGAAUAUUGCACAAUGGAGGAAACUCUGAUGCAGUGACGCCGCGUGCAGGAAGAAGGUUUUCGGAUUGUAAACUUCUUUAGACAGGGAAGAAACAAGACAGUACCUGUAGAAUAAGCUCCGGCUAACUACGUGCCAGCAGCCGCGGUAAUACGUAGGGAGCAAGCGUUAUCCGGAUUUAUUGGGUGUAAAGGGUGCGUAGACGGGUAUAUAAGUUAGUUGUGAAAUCCCUCGGCUCAACUGAGGAACUGCAACUAAAACUGUAAAUCUUGAGUGCGGGAGAGGAAAGUGGAAUUCCUAGUGUAGCGGUGAAAUGCGUAGAUAUUAGGAGGAACACCAGUGGCGAAGGCGACUUUCUGGACCGUAACUGACGUUGAGGCACGAAAGUGUGGGGAGCAAACAGGAUUAGAUACCCGAGUA
rnacentral:rRNA from 1 species